ACAUCCAGAGAACUUAGCAGAGAUGCUUUGGUGCCUUCGGGAACUCUGAGACAGGUGCUGCAUGGCUGUCGUCAGCUCGUGUUGUGAAAUGUUGGGUUAAGUCCCGNAACGAGCGCAACCCUUAUCCUUUGUUGCCAGCGGUUCGGCCGGGAACUCAAAGGAGACUGCCGGUGAUAAACCGGAGGAAGGUGGGGAUGACGUCAAGUCAUCAUGGCCCUUACGGCCAGGGCUACACACGUGCUACAAUGGCGCAUACAAAGAGAAGUGACCUCGCGAGAGCAAGCGGACCUCAUAAAGUGCGUCGUAGUCCGGAUUGGAGUCUGCAACUCGACUCCAUGAAGUCGGAAUCGCUAGUAAUCGUAGAUCAGAAUGCUACGGUGAAUACGUUCCCGGGCCUUGUACACACCGCCCGUCACACCAUGGGAGUGGGUUGCAAAAGAAGUAGGUAGCUUAACCUUCGGGAGGGCGCUUACCACUUUGUGAUUCAUGACUGGGGUGAAGUCGUAACAAGGUAGGCGUAGCGAG
rnacentral:rRNA from 1 species